rnacentral:rRNA from 1 species
UGGAUUAGUGGCGAACGGGUGAGUAACACGUGAGUAACCUGCCCUCCACUUUGGGAUAACUCCGAGAAAUCGGGGCUAAUACUGGAUAUGACUAUGGCCCGCAUGGGUUGUGGUGGAAAGUUUUUCGGUGGGGGAUGGGCUCGCGGCCUAUCAGUUUGUUGGUGAGGUAGUUGCUCACCAAGGCGAUGACGGGUAGCCGGCCUGAGAGGGCGACCGGCCACACUGGGACUGAGACACGGCCCAG